rnacentral:tRNA from 1 species
AAUGAAGUGCCUGAAAAAGGAUUAUCUUGAUAGGAUAAAUUAUGUAGAUACUGACUUUACCUUCAUUA